UCUGCGUCGCGUGUUCUUCGUUGAAGAUGCUGCUCGUCAAAAAGCAGUAACGACCUUUCUUCUUUUGCAAAUUGGACGAGUCUCCAGAAGCUGCAUCUGCUUGCUUCUCUGGGACUGACGGCAAGGUAUUUAGUUGAAUGGCCUGCACCCUUGCCUCCGAGCCCCAUGGCAGGUGAUGAGGUCAUGUGAGGGGCAAUUAUACCUGGGUAAGUAUUGCAGGAGGUGCAAGCCUUUCUAGACUGCGGUGCUGAGUUGGGCAGUUGGCAUCGUUCUUCAUGCUCUUCGUUCUCAACUUAUCCCCAACAUGCAGCUGAUCUUCUCCACAUUCUGCUUUCUUCACUGCACCUGCGAUUGAGACUCCUCGGUAGCUUGUAUCUUCCAGUCACAUUCCGUUGCUGUUGGAUGCAACAUAUUCGUCAAUAGGUUUAUUCGAAUAAUUUGGUUGAGCCUGCAUUUGUGAACCUGAAUUUUCAGAUCCUAGAUUGUUCUGACAUUUGAGUAAUUUGGUUGAGCCUGCACUUCUGUUUUCAA